AUCAGAUCCGCCACCGUGUGCCACCGCCAAGGUUCGUGCUCCAUCGAAUCUAUCUCGUGUAGAUGUUACACCUCCACUAUUAAGUCAAUCUAGGGCGGCCGGUGAAGGCGGCACCGCCGCUGCCGUCGCGGACAACGGCGAAGAGGUAGGGGUUGAUGCGGCCUGCGGGUGCUGCGGCAGGUGUGUGCGUGUUCGAUGGGUGGGGUAACUGGGUGUAUGGGGUUCCGUGGAUCCAUCUGAUCCAGACCGCAGGCAGCAUCCUGCUCAACGCCAAUCCGCUCUUUCAGGAAGCACACAAAAAAUGUAUGCUAAAGAACAUCAGGGUUGUGUACCAAGUUAGGAGAUUACUAUGCAGCAAUGUCCUGAAAAUAUUGGCAAAGAGAGCUAUGUCAAUUCAUCUUUAGGACGUCGGUGCAUAACUGUCAUAGAUGCUUUGGGUGAUGUUAUUGCUUGGCCUAGGUUCUGUAUCAAAAAGAAGAAAUCGAGCUCAAACCAGACAAAUAAUAACCUGGUAAAAUCUGGAGCUAAAUAGGACUGAAAUGAAUGAAGAUGGAGAGGGGCAAAGCAUUUGUUUCCGCCUCGAUAAAUCAAUGGAGGGAUAUUUGCUAUCAUUUUUGAGAGAUAAUUGUUAUAUAGGAUUUUUAUGAUUUUUCUGUUCAGGAUCUUUCC